CGUCACUUCCCAGGCAGUUUUUAUUUCCUUCCUUUUUCUUCUUUUCCCGUCCUUGCUAAUUCACGCCACUCCCUCAGGAAUUCUCUCAUCCCGAUACUUAAUCUAUGGCAGGUCGCACAAUCUCUCUAUCUCUCAGAAUCACCUAAGGCUUAAGCCGGAAACCAGCACCCUCCUUCCACUCAGUCCAUGGCAGUCCGAGAACCGCUCCCAUCUAAGUCGUGCACCGCCAUCGCAAGCAGCCCCGGGAGACACUGUCGUGCACGCCAGCCCCCUUUCCACGGCGUCAGCCUCUGCUUCGUCGACUUGUAAGCCCUCCCCCCUUGAGCUUCAGUCCCCUGCUUGUCCCUCUCGCUCCUUUGUUUCUCUCUUUUUCACACCUCUCAGCCAUCGCCAUCCCUUACACGCUAGAUGACCGCACGUCGCCGUCGUUGCUCAACCACCACGCCGCAACUCAUCAUCGGACUACCGCCAACCAUAAUUAAUGUCGCCCACACCGUUUCCAGCCCUCAAUCUCUACUCCUCCGCUACCAUCCCACACGCAACGCCGUGAAUCACCACACUGUAACCUUGUAAUUGGAGGUAUAAUUUCUAUAUCCAUGUUCUGGGGAUUUUUUUUUUUUUUUUAUGUCGAGAUAGUUGGAAUUGGAACUAUUAUACUGAUGUAGUUAGAGUUUGUAAAAUUAUGGAUUUGAGGUCGAUGUUGUGAACUGUGCGUCGUGCGAAGUGUUGAAAAAUGUGUAAUUGUGAUGCAGAUGUGUGCGGUGUAAACUGUAAAGUGAUGAGAAUAAUUGUGUAGUUGUGAAGUGGCCGGAAGCCAUGUGAAAUGUCUAGUUGAACUAUGUAAUUUUGGCGUAUGGUGUGAAGUAUGCAUUUUGCUCUUGAAGUAUUUGGAUAA